UGGAAAGUCCUGACCUCAGACGGGUCACAUUCCGAGCGCAGGCUUCCACCCACUCCGCACUGGGAUGACGGGAGGCGUCCCAAAUAACUUCCUGUUUAUGAGGUGGGACUGGCUGAUGUCGAGGCGCUGAUACAAUAAUUAAUGUGACACUGAUUAAUAUUCCACCAAGGCUUCUUUCCCUGCUUUGGGUCCGUCGUCACCCUGGUGCGGAUCUCAUGUUGCGCUCUGUGCAUGGAGCAGCCAUCGCUAUCACCUUUGACCUUUGGUCUGGUCAUGUGGACCGCACCCCCUCCUGGGGGGGCUGACAGCUGUUUUAAUAAGACGGCGCCCAUCCAGGCUGCGGAGCAUUUUCCUGCGAGUAAACAGGAGGGCUGACGUGUGUGUUCGCCGAGCGAACCCCCGACUGCGACGAGCGAGCCCCCGACCGCGACGAGUGAACCCCCGACCGCGACGAGCGAGCCCCCGACCGCGAUGAGCGGAGCAGCCAGCCUGCCAACUGGGUGACGAAACGCAGUGCAAGCGUGUUCCUGGCGGUGCGGGUGCACGGUCCUGCUACGACUGCAGACAAAAGCACGGUGCACAGGCUCGCCUAAGCGCCGGGAACCCCAGGGAUGAUGGCAUAGAGUAAACGAAGACCCGGCUCGUUAUCACAGAGGAAGCAGGAGCGAAGGAGGGAGAGAGGGAGGCGAUUCCAGGGGUCCCCUCUGCUCUGACAAAUGUGGCCUAAUUGGCAGUCAGCCGAGGGGACCGCGGGGGGCGGGGGGCGGGGGGACAGGCCGACAGGCUGACAAGCAGAUGCUUGCGGAAGCGGCGGCGGUAAACGGAAAUGUCAGAAUGAAAGCAUUUCUUCCAAAAAAACGGAACAUCAGGAUCAGGUACAACAGCUGUUCCCCACCCUGGGAUCUCAAAUCACUGAUUCUUGACUGGUGAAGGGAAUGAAAAACAACCGAACGUAGAGUGGCUGUCUUUGACGUCUGCAGAGGCCCUGAGACGCACAACCCCCCCGGCUUGUGUGGAUGUUUUAUAUCAAAGUUUCGCUAAACUUCAACAAACUCAUUCAGGCUUGUUCUAGAUGUCUGCUUCGAUGCCACCUCCCAGCCUCGCAUUCUCGAUUUUUUUCCCCCAUUUUGCACACAUCCACCUUUUUAGGCCCCGGUUCUGCGGCUGCAGUACGGAGACCUUUGAGGGUCUGUGUGAUGUGUGCUGAGGGUCCCUUUCUGAGGUGGCGUGGAUGGGCAGAUGCGCAGGGCUCCUGACUUUGCCGCUGUGACUGAACCCUCCUGAACACUUUGUGGCUCUGGUAUUAGCUUUUACAGGUGAACGUACAGUAUUACUCAGUGAUUAUAAAUUUUCUGUAAAACAGAAUUUCAGUCAAUUCCUUUACCUGAAUUGUCAUAGUGGCCUAGAUAAGGAACUAGCAUGUUCCUACAGCUUCAUGAAUAAGUGAGAAAUUUAAAAAUAUAGUCCAUCAUCUUACACCCCCAGGGUUGGGGGACAGGUUCGAAUCCCACCUCCACUGUGGGGUUUAUGUGCCCGACACAUUUUCGUUACCAGGAGCUGGGCGGAAGCAAUAACGUGGACUAUCUGUGGGUCCCUGAAUUCCCAGUCUGAGAAACACUGCCAUGUGACAUUAGAAGAUGGAUUAACUGAAAUGAUGGAUCAGCUGAAAUGAGUAACAUUACUUUUAAGUUGCUAGUUAUUGCUAAUGUUGAAAAUAAACA